AUCCAGCCCUGGAGCAGGGAGUGGUGGUGUUCAAUAGAGGUGUUCAUCUAUCCAGCCCUGGAUCAGGGAGUGGUGGUGUUCAAUAGAGGUGUUCAUAUAUCCAGGCCUGGAUCAGGGAGUGGUGGUGUUCAAUAGAGGUGUUCAGUGGUGGUGUUCAAUAGAGGUGUUCAUAUAUCCAGGCCUGGAUCAGGGAGUGGUGGUGUUCAAUAGAGGUGUUCAGUGGUGGUGUUCAAUAGAGGUGUUC